UCGGUUCCCAUGAUAGAGCAGCUCCUAUAGAUGUAAUGAGAUGGGCCAGUACAUUUGUCCUUGUGUAAUAUCAAUUCGUGUCGUACAUAUUUUAAGAUUAGAAAAUGGUAAAAUAACAAAAUACCACUAAAAUUUACCAAAUAACUCUUUUACCGAAAAAGUUGACUUUUCUGUAAAAUGCUAAUAAACAGAACGCGAUCAUCUGCAAAUGAUUUCAUGAUAUUGAAAAUGGUACACAGGAAGCACUGAGGCACAUCUUGCACAUUUAUAAAGCACCAUUAAUGCUGACCCAUUAUUUCUCCAAGACAAUGCAUUUUGUCACAACAGCACGGCUGUUAAUCUGACCAACCUGCAGUGCAGACCUAUUACUAAACGAAAACAAAAGAUAUGACAAAGGAGGCUCUAAACUGUGAAACAUUAGAAAUCUUAUUUUUUUAAAAAGUAAGAUUAAUAAAAUAUUUCACUUUUAGAACUACAGCAGCUGGUGUCCUCAGUUCUAAAAUUAUGCAAGUUAGUGGAAAACAUUGUGUCUUUGGGACAAGAGACAUCAUAUUUAAAACAGACACGUUUUCAAAAAUAUCUAGAAAAAUGACCAGUUAUAACAUUGGAUAUGUUGUCCUUGCAUCCAUUUUCAAAUAAAUAUGGGUCUUUAAAUUAUUUGCAUAUCAUUGCACUCUUUUUAAUUAUAUUUUAAACUGGUUUGUUUUUGGGAGGGGGGAAACACGAUUGUGAAAUAGCUGUGUUUUGGAGGUUUACCCUCCUAUUCAUUACAUAAAUAUGGGUGAUUAUCAAAGGUCGACUGACUGAACUGCAAUUCAAUAUUUAAUGAUUGUUUUGCUAAUGUGUCUUAGCAAGAUUUUCAUGCGGUGUUAUGUUGCAAAUGAAUGUUUUAAAAAUGACUAAACACUUGAAGAAAAGCUGCUUGUUAGAGUGCAAGCAAAGUGCUGCCAAGCAUCAAGUGUGGUGUAAAGCAGGAGCUCAUGCAUAUGCAUAGAUUACGCAAGAGUAGUCGGACUACGUUCAAAUGAGUGAUUGUGUUAGAAGGGCUUUGGGAAACUUGUAUCAAAGGGGGCGGCUCGCAAAAGUGGUAAACACUCCUGACUAUUGUUGAUGGGAGGUUAACAGAAUAAGCCUCGUGUGUUUUUAAUUAAGUUGAUAUUCUAAAACACACAAAAAACGACCCUCACUAGUAUCGAGCCGCUGCUAAACACUCCAGUCGUGGCAGGAAACUGUCACACGACUUUCAUCAAUACAUACAGGUUUUUAAUCCCUGAGAUAGUUAUUAUCAUUCCUUUUAUAUGACUGUGAUACAAUAAAACACUGCAGGUGCAGAACUGCCUUAUAGAAAAUAAGCCCACAGAUCAUGAUUGUGUGUAAUCUGUACUGCUAGCAAACAUGUCGUGUGUUCAUUGUAGUAAUAAAAAAGCAGCUGUUCAUUCAUCAGUUUUACAGUGAAGGUGGGAAUCAUUUAACUUUUCAGCACAAAUAUUCAUACGAUAUAUGUGGUAGUGUCCUGUACAGCAACUGUAUGCAGCAUCAAUCAGAAAGCCGCCAUCACUGAGCUUUAGACUGGAUGGUGUCCACAUUAAUCAAACAGCUCACACAGCUGCAGUUGAAGUUUAGGGUGCAUUUAGCUGUUAGUGGCUAAUAUAACCUAAAAGACAGAAACAAGGAGCUAAUUUAUCAGAUUUGUGCAGCUCCCGCUAAUAACAAAAAGCUUUUGUGAUUUAAGACUUAAGAAACCCUUAAAGCAGCUGAUUGAUACGCUUUGGGGUUUUUAUAGCACUAUGAAGCAUCCAUAUACACGCUGUUUCUAUUUUGACCAAGGCUCCCGAUCUCCUGUUGAUGUAAACAAUGCAGUAUAUUUAAAACAUAAAAAAAAAGCUUUGCAAUUCUUUUAUUUUGGAGAAAAAGCACUCAAUACUCCACAGGGCUUAUUUUAAAACUGAAACUCUGUGACCACUGCUGCACAUCACACACUUCUUUACGUAUUUCAGGUAGUCUUAAAAUGCUCAGUGGUGGAGCUUCCCUUCUUUUUGGGUAGAGUUUUCAGUACAUCAGUAUUCUUUCAAAUGAGUCCAUCUCCUUCCCCCGUAAUUGCUUGCUGCACCUUGAGGCUGGUAACAAGAGUGAUGACAAGCAAAGAAAGUGAAAUUGGCUUAUUGAGUUGCAGCCAAACUGUUCUCUUUGUAGUAUGCCUCGUUUGUUCUUAUGUACUUUUCUGUCCUUGCCUUUUGUCGGCGGCCUGGCCUUAUCCAUCACUGUCACAGCAAAGAGGGACUGAACAAUAAAGAGUAUCGCAUCUACGCUACCAACACUUCUGUGUCACUUACUGUCAUUGUUAACAUUGUCGCUCGCGUUCACGGAUGAAAGCAAAUCGGCCACUACAUUUGUUGCAUAAUAAGCUCAGAAUGCGAAGUCAUGUCAGAGUGCAUUUAUGCACGCAUGCAGAUGGUGUGUGCGUGCAAUUUAAAUACAGAUUAGGUGUGUAGUAAAGCGUAGAUGUGUUUAUAUUGCGAGAUGAACUCAUCAGUCCUCCCAUCACAUUCUCUCUGUGAACCGUAUGCAUACAUGGAUGGAUGCUGUGGAUUUGAUUUUCGCUGCAUCUGUUUUCCUCUUGGUUUAAUGAAUACUUAACCUUCACUGCCUCACUAAGCAUUCUCUGAGCUUUUGGGAAACACAGUUCCCUGUUUCUGGGUUUGCUGUGCUCAAUUGGAAUAGAGGGAAAAUUUAAAAAAAGAACAGCAAGGGUGUACAAAAUGCUUGUCGUCCAUUGACCGGAAAAUUGGUUACAAGCCCGUUUAGGAUGUGGAUGGCUGCUUAAACAUUAUUUGGCUGCAUGUAAGUCAAGAACACCGAGCGUUGAGCACGAGACAUGUUCUCUAACAUUUCUAUUGUUUUAAUGGAAUAAAAUUGCCGGGCUUGGCUUUGGCUUUUAUGAGAUUAAAAAAACCUAAGUGGUGCAAAC
ensembl:lncRNA